rnacentral:tRNA from 1 species
GCCAGAUUAGCUCAGCUGGUAGAGCAGCUGAUUCGUAAUCAGCAGGUCGCGGGUUCAAGUCCCGUGUCUGGCUCCA